UGCGGGGUAGCAAUAUUCCGCAGUGGGAGCGGCGCAAGGGUGCGUAACACGUGGGUAAUCUGCCAUGAAGUUUGGAAUAACUUGCUGAAAGGCGAGCUAAUACCGGAUGUGACGGCUGGGAGGCAUCUCCUGGCGGUUAAAGUUGGGGACCGAAAGGCCUGACGCUUCAUGAUGAGCCCGCGGCCUAUCAGCUAGUUGGUGAGGUAACGGCCCACCAAGGCGAAGACGGGUAGCUGGUCUGAGAGGACGACCAGCCACACUGGAACUGAGAGACGGUCCAGACACCUACGGGUGGCAGCAGUCGAGAAUUUUUCACAAUGGGCGCAAGCCUGAUGGAGCGACGCCGCGUGGGGGAUGAAUGGCUUCGGCCCGUAAACCCCUGUCAUUUGCGAUCAACCCGCAUUAUUUAAAAGAUGAUGCGCUGAUGGUAGCGAAAGAGGAAGGGACGGCUAACUCUGUGCCAGCAGCCGCGGUAAUACAGAGGUCCCGAGCGUUGUUCGGAUUUACUGGGCGUAAAGGGUGCGUAGGUGGUGAGGUAAGUCGGAUGUGAAAUCUCGGAGCUCAACUCCGAAACGGCAUUGGAAACUACCUUGCUAGAGGGUUGGAGGGGGGACUGGAAUUCUCGGUGUAGCA
rnacentral:rRNA from 1 species